GACGAACGCUGGCGGCGUGCUUAACACAUGCAAGUCGAACGAAAAGAGGGGAAGAGCUUGCUCUUUUCAGAAUUGAGUGGCAAACGGGUGAGUAACACGUAAACAACCUGCCUUCAGGAUGGGGACAACAGACGGAAACGACUGCUAAUACCGAAUAAGUUCCAAGAGCCGCAUGGCCCAUGGAAGAAAAGGUGGCCUCUACCUGUAAGCUAUCGCUUGAAGAGGGGUUUGCGUCUGAUUAGCUGGUUGGAGGGGUAACGGCCCACCAAGGCGACGAUCAGUAGCCGGUCUGAGAGGAUGAACGGCCACACUGGAACUGAGAUACGGCCAGACUCCUACGGGAGGCAGCAGUCGGGAAUAUUGCGCAAUGGAGGAAACUCUGACGCAGUGACGCCGCGUAUAGGAAGAAGGUUUUCGGAUU
rnacentral:rRNA from 1 species